UUUACAAGAACAUGAGCAACUUACUAAUGG
rnacentral:piRNA from 1 species